UGUAAUUCAUCGUAUGUUAGUGGUGAAUAUUGGUUAUACCCUCCUAUAUUUAAUUAUAACAGAGUCAAGAUAUAUUGUGGUGAUUUUUCAAAGGUUAUUCCCAGGGAUUUUAUCACUUUACAUCACCUGAAUGUUGUCAGGUUUCCUAGUGGUAAAUAUGUAGGGACCGGUUGCGACGUCAACGAAACAGUAUCAACUCCAAUGAAUCCGGGAGAAACGGAAUUUCAUAAAGUGAGACUAGAUUUAUCGACAGGGGAAAUUAUUGGUACUAACGACUACUAUACUACACAAAUCAGUGGAGAAGUGAAACGAUUUGGUGAUGCUAUAGCAUGUUCUGGAAUUCAUGAUCACGUCACUUGUCCAAGAAGAGGCUAUGUUUUGGUGGACUUUAGACAGACGGGAUUUAAAUUAAGUCCCUUGACUACCUGGAAGAACAGUUCUUUGGCAACUUAUUUCGAAGAUUGUGAUAUAAUAGAACAGUCAACGUAUAGAUUUGAAGCUAGAGGGGAUGGAUACUGUGGUGGUUGCAUACCAAUAUCGAGAAUAAAAGUAGAUCUCGACUUGCCAACAAUGCCCCCGUUAUCAGCAGCCAUCAUGCCACAGUGUAAUUAAAGGGAGAUAUUUCCCAUUCCUUUCUGAUAUAAUAUCUUCAACAAUUACUUGUCCUCCUGUGUAUUUUAUUAUAUAUAAUAUUAGUAUCUGUCACUCUUUCUUGGCUUUAACUAAAAUGUUCCAUUGUCCAUGCGGAAUCGGGAUUCUUUAUGUUUAUGAUUAUUGAGUACAAUUUUGUCAAAUAUGUACAACUGACCCAGAUCCUCCGUACGUUGAGGUUCUAGGUGUUCGAGACUAAUAUUAUACAUUCAAUCCGUUACGUUGCCUCCUUUUGUUAAUAUUUUAUCUGAUAUCAUAUCGCCAACUAGCAUGCCUUGUUGUAAAUAAAGAGAGAUAACACAAAUAGGCUACAGUUGCUUACCAUCAUCAGUGCGCCAAUACAUGCCAAUAUGUGGCGGUAUGAUCAAUUAUCCACUUCCUGCGAGCUGUCACAUGACGUCACAAAAUGACAUAUUUUCCUGAUUUUGAAUAGGCCAACUUGCGAUAUAUUAUUUAAGAUUUAAUUUACUGUCCCAAUAGUUUAGCUUGUGUAUAUAGCUUACAAUGAUAUUACAUAGUUACACUUAUCUGCUUUUAUAUAUUGUUUUGUAUUAUUGGAAUCAUA